rnacentral:piRNA from 1 species
AUGAUCAGUUGUGGCUUUACUAUUGGUC